CUGACGACCGGCGCACGGGUGCGUAACGCGUAUACAAUCUACCUUAUACAGAGGGAUAGCCUUUAGAAAUGAAGAUUAAUACCUCAUGGUCUAUUAAUAUAGCAUUAUAUAAAUAGUAAAGCUUCGGCGGUAUAAGAUGAGUAUGCGUCCUAUUAGUUAGUUGGUAAGGUAACGGCUUACCAAGACAACGAUAGGUAGGGGCCCUGAGAGGGGGAUCCCCCACACUGGUACUGAGACACGGACCAGACUCCUACGGGAGGCAGCAGUGAGGAAUAUUGGACAAUGGAGGUAACUCUGAUCCAGCCAUGCCGCGUGCAGGAAGACGGCCCUAUGGGUUGUAAACUGCUUUUAUAUAGGAAGAAACCUUUUCACGUGUGAGAAGCUGACGGUACUAUAAGAAUAAGGACCGGCUAACUCCGUGCCAGCAGCCGCGGUAAUACGGAGGGUCCGAGCGUUAUCCAGAAUCAUUGGGUUUAAAGGGUCCGUAGGCGGGAAUCUAAGUCAGUGGUGAAAUCUUACAGCUCAACUGUAAAAUUGCCAUUGAUACUGGGUUUCUUGAAUUAGUGUGAAGUGAUUAGAAUGUGUAGUGUAGCGGUGAAAUGCAUAGAUAUUACACAGAAUACCAAUUGCGAAGGCAGAUCACUAACACUAUAUUGACGCUGAGGGACGAAAGCGUGGGGAGCGAACAGGAUUAGAUACCU
rnacentral:rRNA from 1 species